GACGAACGCUGGCGGCGUGCUUAACACAUGCAGGUCGAACGGAAAGGCCUGCUUUCCCUUGUGGAUUGCGGGUGCUCGAGUGGCGAACGGGUGAGUAACACGUGAGUGAUCUGCCCCCAACUUGGGUAUAAGCCUGGGAAACUGGGUCUAAUUCCCGAUAGGACUGCAGGGUGGUGCCUGUGGUGGAAAACGAUUUUCUAGUGGUUGGGGAUGAGCUCGCGGCCUAUCAGCUUGUUGGUGGGGUAAUGGCCUACCAAGGCGGCGACGGGUAGCCGGCCUGGGAGGGUGGACGGCCACAUUGGGACUGAGAUACGGCCCAGACUCCUACGGGAGGCAGCAGUGGGGAAUAUUGCACAAUGGGCGGAAGCCUGAUGCAGCGACGCCGCGUGGGGGAUGACGGCCUUCGGGUUGUAAACUCCUUUCGACCGCGAGGAAGCCACCUGGUUGGAAGGGUGGUGACGGUAGUGGUAGAAGAAGCACCGGCUAACUACGUG
rnacentral:rRNA from 1 species